GUGCUUUUUUUAAUUUAAGGUGUAGGGGUUUGAAUUUAGACAUCUUUUAAUCCAGCAUUAAAAUGUUUUUUAAAAUAGUAUAUUUGCAGAAUGAUUCUGCACUUCUAAAGUAUGAAGUAGUGCUGGUUAUAAAUAUAAUUGCUGUAAAAUAAAAUGUUAUGGCUUUUCUCAAAAGGCAAGAAAAGUUGGCUAGAGGUAGGGCAAAUAUGGUGUUCCUUGUGUUAAAGUAGCAUACUUUGAGGUCUCAUUAAAGGUUAAAGAAGCUGAAGGCUUUAAAACUGUAUUCUGAAGGGCAAAAAAGAUGUUUUUUUGGGAGAUGAAGUAACUUAGGACUUAAAAUUCAGAGAAGCUGAUGACAGAAGCCAUUUUAAAGUAACCUUGCUAUCAGUAGUGGUUUUAUUUAAUUUUGCAUAGCCUACUUUGAAAGACUUUAAUGUGGAAGAAAAAGUAAAAGGGCUGAGGGAUAUUGUGUGAUAAACUACUCAGUAGAAAAAGUCUUAAAUUGGCAUUUUAGCUUUAGUUCUUUCAAAAUUAAAGUAAUGGAGACAGUAGAGCAGACUACAGUUAUUCAUGAAAAGCACAGAUCAUGUGUGUUGUAUGUCAGUCACUCAUAUCCAGUGGGUUUUUCUUCAGACAGGAACGUACAGCCACUCAUACUUUUAUUUUUAGAGUUUAAUUUGAAAGAUAGUUAUUGUGAUCAUGAGUUUUUCCCGAUUUAAUAAUUAUCUAAAGAUUGAUAGAUUUCAGGCAUAUGCUGCUUUUCUAAAGCAAAAUACUGAAAAUAUCCAUACUUUGUUUUUUCAGGUAGAAUUUCGUGAACAGAAUCUUAUUUCCUGACUGGCUUCCAGAGGAUUCGUUCAUGCCUUAUUUUUCUUAGGCUGUUACUGGAUAUUGUUCUUCCAAAGAUUCAGAUGACUGGUUGGACAAAAGACCUUGAGCAAAAUUCUGUACUGUGCGUGCCAGAUUGUUGAGGAAUUGAUUUACUCACUGUAAGCAAAAUAUCUGCUCUUGGUUGAAGCACUGAAUCCAUUCAGAUGAAGAGUGUCAAAAGGAGUCUACGAAUGAGACACCAAGAUGGCAGUUCCACUGGGGAUUGAGAGGUUGAGGAAAUGGACUAAUGCAUGAGUGCUGGGAUGUCUGUCCAAGAAAAGGAUGUUAAAACGUGGACUCUCAUGUUAUUAAACCAGAGAAGAUCUGGGUUGUGAUCAUCCUACCAGAAUGGACUUUGCAUUUGAAUUAAUCAGUGACUAUGCAAUGAUGGAUCUGUUUGAGGACUGGGUGGCAAAAUUUCCUUUUGGGUUGUGUUUGCAUGAUAGGCAAAUUAAUUUGGUAAAAGAUCUGUUGCUACCCCUUUUGAGAAAAUGUAAUUUAUAAAGUGACUUUAAAUAAAAGGUUUUGGUUUAUUUCACACUUUGUGUUUGUCCUUUCUGGCUGAAUAUUUUUUGUUGUGUUGAUAUUGAAGUGGGUUACAUUUUUGGUUGCUAUUAAACUGAGAAAUACUUUAGCUGAGUACUGAAGGCAAGGUAAAAUUUAGUGCUACACUUGAUAUCCAAUGUGGUUUUCAUUUGCAAAUUAUGUUCACUUUGCCAUGACUUUCAAUGAAUUUUUAUUCACUGGCUUGUUCAUUCAGGUGCUUAAUAUGAGGGGUUUUCAGUACUUGGCCUAUUGUCAGGGUACUGCUGCUGAACUUUGUGAAGUUAUUUUAAGAUGGAAUUGAUACCAAUUGAAGGCUGAGAAAAUAUAACAAUAAAGGAGUACUUGAAUGUUUUGUGAAACUUUUUUAGGUAUGUUCUUGGGUUGUGUGUGGGUACAGAAACUUUUCAACAGAUUUCCUGGACUACAGACUUCCUGAACAGUCACUUUGGUCUUAAAAUUGUUCUGUGCAAGUGUCCAAUCUGCUUCGCUGCUCUUGCAUGUAGCCUUAGUGUCACGAUACUGUGCCAUGUGUUUGCUGAGAAAAAAACAAGUUAUUUUUGAUAUUGCUGCAGAUGACAUAUUAACCUUUGCAAAUGAAUUUUGAAAUGGUUCUAAUAUUUGAAGUCAUGAUUUCCUUACAGGUUUCUAGUGGAUCUAAUAAUUUAACCAUAGGCAUUUCUUCUCUUUGUGUUUCACCUGAAACUCAAAGUUGUCUUUGUUUUGUACUGGAGGGCCAAGAUGAUAAACCUGGUGCUGAGAUAACCUUGAAAUUAUCUUUGAAAACCCCAAAAAAAUCCUGUUCAUUGUCUGUUUAACCAUUUGCCUUGCUCAGACUUUCUUGGAAAUACCCAUUUUGCCAUGAUGACUUGCUCAUACCUGUUCCAUCCAGCCAUUUUGGUGGUACCCACUUGGCCCAGUUUGGUUUCACCAUGUAUUUUUAUGGUGGGGUUGGAUACUGGGACCAACCUGAAGCGUUUCUCAUUCAAAUGAGUGGAUUUCCUUAGUGUUACCAGAAAUUGCUUGGAAUGGUCUUGCAUUGUGGUUUUUUAGUUCUUGUAGUCGAGGUGCAAGGAGUCUUCUGUGAAUAAUUGGUAAAGUGGAAUUUUUUUAAAAUGGCUUGUGGCAUUGGAGAGUUCCUAAUGAAACGCCUUGUGGAAAUAGGGUAGAUAGUUGUAGGAGAUAAAUGGCAGGUCUGUGGAGGAAUUAAAGGGGAUGGUGUUGGUUCUACUGGUCAAAGCCAAUGGUUUUGGGCUGUUGAGAUGCUGUACUGUGGGAUGUCCCCAUAGACCCCAAACUAGCCCAUUGCCCCUUUGUUCUCCAGUGGUCCCCCCAUGACUGAUGGCUCUGUCUUGUUGUGGUGCUUAUGAACAUGCAGGAUGUCCUUGUGCUUUAAGGGGUUGUUUUUGGUUGUGGAAGACAACUGGUAGUCAGAAUCAAGUGGGCAGGGGAUACUUGGAUCACCUCCAUUCCCUUGGUGAUACAUCCUCUCAGUUCCACGAUGUUGUGUUGGAGAUGUGUAUCAAUUGAUUUGCAAUUCUGCAACUUGGCUAUUGUGCAGCUUUCAAUUUAAUUUGUUGUAUUAAAAUCUGUUAAUGAGCAUGAAUGGGUUAAGAAAGUGCAGUAGGAAUAAGCAGUUUGAUGGUGUUGGACUGAGUUGACCAUAGUGCCUUGGCAUAGCUGGUGGAAAUGGUGUGGCUUUUGGAUUGGAGUUGUUGGGAGAAACCACUAGGGAGGCGCUGUGGAGCUGGAGGGCAAUCUCAGCUCUGUGGGGUUGGCUUGGGAGCCAGUGAUGCUCCUGUCUCCCCCUGCCAGUGCCAGCACUGGGGGACAAAGGGAGAGCUGUUGUCUGGGGAUUUUGCCACCAAACUGGGGGGAAGCUGCCCCUUGGGUGGGGUGACCCCCAGGGUGGGCAGUAGCUGCCUGCAUGGCUGUGAGCUCCACUUCCAUGCCUUCAAAAUGGCUUGUAACAGCACCACUUCCUGUCCAGGGAGGAAGUAAUUUUAGCCCAGGCACUGAAAUAUUUAACAAAUCUUUAAAACAAAAGGCACAAAUUCCAUUUCUUUCUGGCUUCCAAAGGGUGCCUGAGCCACAUGGGGUUAAGGUGCCCCUUGAGCUGGGGUAGUUGGAAGGAGCCAGGGCUGUGGGGUAGCAGGCACCCUUUAGGUGGAGGCUCUCUCUUUUUUUGGUAGAAAUGAAGGGGUGGGUCUAUGGUACAUCACCUGAGUUGUGGGGUAAAUGUAGAGAGUGUCAAUCAAAGGCAGAGCUCAGAGCUGGGAAGGAGCUCUAGAUGGCGGCUGUGCCUUAGAGAGAGCGCGCUCAGCUCCGUGCCUUCCCCAACACUUUACGCAACUUUCCCUAACUUUCAGGCAGCCUCAGGGGGCCCCCACAGCCCCUUGCCUCUCCUAGGCACUAAUCGGGGGCCGAGCGGACCUUUUUCGGGCAGAAAAGCAGCUUUUGAGGGCUCCCUUUUCGUGCCUUGCUGGAAAGAAGAAGCCGUGGAGAGAGCCCAGGUCGUUGUUUUUCCAGCUUAGAAGCCAUGGCGUACCUCCAUUUUUGUGCGCUCUCCUAAUGAGCUUUUUCCCCCGGACAUUUUUAUACUAAUUACCGCUUCUUUUGCUUUAUCGGCAGCAUAUUUUUGGGAUUAGAAUAUAUAUUUUUUUUUCAUUUUCUGAAAUUUGUAUUUUAUCGGUAUAAUUCUAAAUAUUUUGGAUCUAAUGUUUUUCCACUACCCGAAACUAAUAUCGACUUGGUCCUGGCGGCGGUGCAUGGAUCAGGUAGUAAAUACCUGGGCACAGGACUUCAAAGCAAACAGACACCCCUGACCCCCUUUUAAUAUUUAAGAAUAAAAAGAUGAUGAGAAAUAAGGACAAAAGCCAAGGAGAGGAGGGUUCAGUCCACAGCAAUGCAUCGAGGUAUGACCUAUCAACUUUCUUUUUUUUUUUUUUUUGUAAAACCUGUGAAUACCCUGUUUACUUUGACAGCCUUGGGUUACUGUCAGUGCUUAACAGAAAACAUUUUACUGAUUUUGCUUCCUUUUUAAGGAAUGACCUUGAGAUUGUUAGCAUGCCACACCCUAAUUUUUUUUGGUAGCAAUUUCUGAAACUUGUGUUGUGACUUAAGGGCCCAUGUCCUAGGCAAAAGGUACUGUACCUUUAUUGAGGGCAGCCCUUGCCCCUGUAUGAUGUUUUUCCAGCUUUUGAAUUUCAGUUUUUAGGUUUUUUGUGCUGUGAAAAAUGACCUUGUCGGUUUAGCCAUUGCUGCAUUGCACCAUUUUACAUACAAGGCAAAUUUUUCUUUGAAGAAUCUCAGAAGUCUAAACUUUAACUGAGGGCCAUACAGAAGCCUGGUGUAGUAGUAAAUUAUAGUAAAUAGGCACAAGAAAAAGUUACAUGAAUGAAAAAAAGCUUAUUUUAAAAUAUAAACUGGAAAGUGCCUGUUCGUCAGAUACCUCUUACUUCAAAUUUUAUUUGAGCUUGUAGAACUUUGAGUCUGUGGAGGUAUUUUAGAAUAUUUUUAUACAAUUUAACCAGACUUUGUCCUGCUGGUGAUGGCAUUUUGUAUCAUAAAAUAUACACUGGGACUGUUAAUAAGAGGCACCAAAUGAUUUGCUGGUUUUGUUUAAUGUAUUUUUGCUCAGAGUAUUUUUAUUUACUUUUGUCAAGUAAUGAGAUUCUUUACAGAUUUUUAGAGACUUAACCUUGAUGUGGGAAAAGUAUGAAAUACUGAAAAUGUUUGUUAGCUGGCAGUGCAGAAGUACAGUUACCAAAUCGCUCAUUUUAUAUUUAAAAGGUCGGCUCUUCCAAAAACUGGAAAUUAAACUAUAUGCGGGGUUUGUUUGUUUUUUUUUUUUUUGGUUUGUAAGUAUUACUGGGUUUUGCAUUUUGUUAAUUUCAGUUGAAUCUUGGCCUGUUUCUUUUUUUCUGGUGUUGUCUUCCUGCAUUUUUAACCAACAUUAAUAAAAAAGAACUCUGAACUGUCUGUUGUA